rnacentral:tRNA from 1 species
GAGGGUAUAGUUCAAUGGUAGAGUGUGUACCUAGCAGGCAUGAGGUCCUGGGUUCAAUCCCCAGUACCUCUG